rnacentral:rRNA from 1 species
UACGUAGGUGGCAAGCGUUGUCCGGAUUUACUGGGCGUAAAGGGAGCGUAGGCGGACUUUUAAGUGAGAUGUGAAAUACCCGGGCUCAACUUGGGUGCUGCAUUUCAAACUGGAAGUCUAGAGUGCAGGAGAGGAGAAGGGAAUUCCUAGUGUAGCGGUGAAAUGCGUAGAGAUUAGGAAGAACACCAGUGGCGAAGGCGCUUCUCUGGACUGUAACUGACGCUGAGGCUCGAAAGCGUCGGGAGCAAACAGG